UAGCCAAAAGGAGAAGAAAGGUAUAGUUGGAGAUAAUGCUGAGAAAGAAGCCUCCACAGCUCUUCCUGACUACCUCCAUCGAUUCAACUCUGACUGGUACCAAAAGGUCCAAACUACCAUGACAAAUGAAUACACCAUCCUUAGGUUUACAGUGCAUUGUGGUCUCAAUAUGGUCCUUGCUCAAAUCCACUCCUCAGAAUUUCCACCACUGGAGGUGACCAACCAACACAGAAAGUCUGCAUGUCCCA